GAAAAUAUGGCUACCAUUGUAUGGAUUUGAUAGCCGAAUGAUAACUGGGGCUAUGCUGCGAAUAAAAUUGGGAAUACCACCUGCGCCACGUCCCUUUCGAACAUCAAACACUCUGCCAAAAAUAAUAUACUGGCGUAUGGACUAAUCAGCGGUGGAGAAAACAGCAAAUGAGUUACCUGGCAACAACAACAAUUUUUUAAUUCAUUUAAUUUAAUUUAAAAAUGUAAGAAAAACUGCGUUAAUGAUGUAAUAUGAAUUUUUCUUUGAUAAGACAAAUUGUGUAUACACGUAAUUAUUCUUUUAAUUAAAAUUGAUUUGAUACUGGAGUCUUCGUCGUGUGCGCGCGCGAUUCAUUUUAUUAAUAUUCAUAAAGAUUUAUAAUAGUAAAGAAAAACACGAGUAUAUUUAAACUGGGCAUAACGCAAUUUUAUCCAGGGGUGUCGUAAGACGUCGCCGGGCCCGGGGAAAAAAUUUCGAUCAAAGAGCGGUUCCAUAGGCGUCACUGUCUGAAAAAUACACACGGUUCCUAGAACGCUUUCCAUGAAUAACUCGACGUAUCCAGGACCA